AUUGAACGCUGGCGGCAUGCUUUACACAUGCAAGUCGAACGGCAGCGCGGGGCAACCUGGCGGCGAGUGGCGAACGGGUGAGUAAUACAUCGGAACGUACCCAGAAGUGGGGGAUAACGUAGCGAAAGUUACGCUAAUACCGCAUACGUUCUACGGAAGAAAGUGGGGGAUCGCAAGACCUCUUGCUUUUGGAGCGGCCGAUGUCUGAUUAGCUAGUUGGUAGGGUAAAGGCCUACCAAGGCGACGAUCAGUAGCUGGUCUGAGAGGACGACCAGCCACACUGGGACUGAGACACGGCCCAGACUCCUACGGGAGGCAGCAGUGGGGAAUUUUGGACAAUGGGCGCAAGCCUGAUCCAGCAAUGCCGCGUGAGUGAAGAAGGCCUUCGGGUUGUAAAGCUCUUUUGUCAGGGAAGAAACGGCUGAGGAUAAUACCUUUGGCUAAUGACGGUACCUGAAGAAUAAGCACCGGCUAACUACGUGCCAGCCGCCGCCGUAA
rnacentral:rRNA from 1 species